UUUCCAAAUGAGCUCUGCCUUCCAGUGUUCAACUUUCUGUUUACUAUUUUAUCUCCUCUCUAUCUUCAAAUGACUUCUCUAGCCUGGAUCAGACGGCGAAUUUGUACAGCUACUCUUAACUCACUUUCAGUUGGCCACAGCAGAACUGUACAUCUUGACUCUUUUUUUUACAGCUUUUCCAUACUGGGGCCCACUUCCUGCCCAGUUGAGGAAAAAAAUCUGGCCUGAAGAUGAAAUGACUGCUUAACAUUACACGAGAACAUCUGGUACCAUUUUAUGCACAGACCCAUGUCUGAGAGCAGGCGAUUCCAGCGGUCUCUCCAGCGGCACAGCACAUACCCAAACCUCCCCAGGGUGACAUCAUCCUAUAUAUGGACUCUCCAGCCCAGCCCUCCCCCUUUUCCUGGUCCUAAAUUCAUUGCCAGUUCCCUAGUCUGCAGCAAAUGUGCCACGUCAAGACUGGAAAUCACAGCCCUUGAGUUUUGCACGCUAGGGAUCAAGAAGUGCUCAGGGACACUGCUGAGAACGGACCACUCGAGGGAAAACCUGCGGGGAUCGUGGCAUCUAUUCCAGAGGAAAUUAACCAACUGUGAGCAUCUUCAACUAAAACUGUCCUGGAUAUAACGGUUGCAUGCACCAUUCCUUUAAUUGAGCACAAUAAACUGGAUCAAAUUUUUAAUGGGAGAGCGAGGGAAAGUUAUAUAAAAUAUAGUAACUUUUAAUUUCUACCAGUAUGUUCUUUGUAAGUGAAUAUUUCUAUAAUUAUUUUCUGUUGCACUGAAUGCAACAAUAAUAGCUAAGAUAGUGUUUUCAGGCAUUUGUUCUUUGCAUAAUCUAACUUUGCAAUUAUUUAUACAGCAGCCAAGUUUACUGAUGUUUUUAAUUCUGUGAAGGAAAAAAGUCUUCUACUCUGAAGUGAUGAACAGGAACAGAAUUGUUUACUUUUGAAAUUAAAUACCUAGAAAUUGCAUUUAUCAAUUCUUUGUCAAAGCUUUGCCAUAUCUAGUAACUGUAUAAAAGUUCAGAAUAGUAGAACUGUCAUUUUUCAGUCCCUAAAAACUAUUUUGUUCUCUACCAGGUUGCUUUGCUAGUCUCUUGAAAUUUUAUUAAUAUAACUAAAGAUAAACAAUAAGCUAUUUCAUUUAUAACGGUCUUUGAAAAAUUCCAAGUAUACAUUCUUUGAAUAAGAAGUUUUACUCUUUGGAAUUUUGCCUCUAUGGAUAUUUUGUUUCUAAAAGGGAUGUAAAUUGUUAAAUACCUUUACAUGUUUGAAUCAGUCAUUUAUGUUAAAAAUAGCCAAAAUCAUUCUUGACUCCCCCAAAUUUCAUUUUAUAUAUAUAUAUGUAAUAUUAUUAAUUCUUCUUUACAAUAAGAAAAUUUUGCAAAGAGUCUGAAUUUAGUUUUUGGAUAUGAAAUAAGUUUUUCUUUUCAGUGUUUAAGGUUGUAUUUUGUAACUGUACAUACACUAAUAAUAUCCAAAACACAUUCAGAGCAUCCCUGAAACAACUUUCCAGUUCACAUCCGGUGGUUCAUUUCAUGACCCUGUAAGUUGAUUAAGCAAUGGAAAAAUUAAGCUCACAACUGUCUUUUAUUUGACUUCCACAUCCAUACUUAGGAACUAUACAUUUAAAAGAAAACUGAAAAGUUUAAAUAAAUUCCUGUUCAGAUAUAAAAUCUCGCUAUCAAAGAAUCAGAAACCAAAGUCCACUGGUUCAGUUGCCAAAUACAUUAUGCUCAUUAAUUAUUCUGAAAAUGGCUGCUGUUACCAUGUAAAUGACAAUUUUCUUUUUCGAGAGCAAGGUUAUAGUUCUUAUCUACUACGAGAAACAUGUAUAAACAUAGUCUUUAUCUUUAGCUUCAGUAUUAAAAUAUGCAGAGUUUUCGCAAAGAGGAAAAACAUCUGGUUCAAUUACUCUGAACUCUGACUGCAUGGGGGCCAGUCAUACUAGGAAUUGGAUUUGAGGGGAAAAAAUCUUGUGUUUAAUCUUUCUUCUUCCUUAAAAUUUUAAUGUGAGUUUUCUGUCAUGCCAAAUCUCCAUGUUAGCACAUUGGAACAAAUGUAUAAGUGUACUUUCUGAAUAAAGUCCAACGUCUAACUUGUUUUUAGUUCCAUAAUGUUUUAAUGUUUAAUUCUGCUGUGUGUUUUUCUCCCUUUCCCCUCACCCUCCAAAAUCACCUAAUCUGGAAAACAGGCUGAUUGUAUCUGUCCAUGAGCAAAGGAAACCUGAAGGAAUCAAGGGCCUGGCUGGACAGAGUUGUCAUGUGUCUGCCUGUCUACACUUGCUGUGCAGAACAUCCGCUCACCUGUACAGCAGGCACAGACAGGCAGUCACAUGACAACCCAGCCUGAAUGACAACCAGCCAUUGAAAGAAAGCAGUCCUCACACCAUAGCAUCCAAGAGCUACAACCAGAGUGAGGGGCCUGGGGGUCUGGGUUUUUAAUCUGUUGGCUUAAUACUUAACGCGUAUGUAUUCUUAUUAUUUUAUUUUGAUUCAAAUAUUAAAACCCACCAAAAGUAAAGUAAGUGGUGCCUAUGAAAUAUAAUAAAACCCAUUUCUGAAAAUGUU